UACCUGCAGUCGAGCGCCCCGCAAGGGGAGCGGCAGACGGGUGAGUAACGCGUGGGAAUCUACCCUGAACUGCGGAAUAGCUCCGGGAAACUGGAAUUAAUACCGCAUGUGCCCUGAGGGGCAAAGAUUUAUCGGUUCAGGAUGAGCCCGCGUCCGAUUAGCUAGUUGGUGGGGUAAAGGCCUACCAAGGCGACGAUCGGUAGCUGGUCUAAGAGGAUGAUCAGCCACAUUGGGACUGAGACACGGCCCAAACUCCUGCGGGAGGCAGCAGUGGGGAAUAUUGGACAAUGGGCGCAAGCCUGAUCCAGCCAUGCCGCGUGAGUGAUGAAGGCCCUAGGGUUGUAAAGCUCUUUCAGUGGGGACGAUAAUGACGGUACCCACAGAAGAAGCCCCGGCUAACUUCGUGCCAGCAGCCGCGGUAAUACGAAGGGGGCUAGCGUUGUUCGGAAUUACUGGGCGUAAAGCGCACGUAGGCGGACAUUUAAGUCAGGGGUGAAAUCCCGGGGCUCAACCCCGGAACUGCCUUUGAUACUGGGUGUCUUGAGUCCGGAAGAGGUGAGUGGAAUUGCGAGUGUAGAGGUGAAAUUCGUAGAUAUUCGCAGGAACACCAGUGGCGAAGGCGGCUCACUGGUCCGGUACUGACGCUGAGGUGCGAAAGCGCGGGGAGCAAACAGGAUUAGAUACCCUGGUAGUCCACGCCGUAAACGAUGGAAGCUAGCCGUUGGGGGAUUUAUCUCUCGGUGGCGCAGUUAACGCAUUAAGCUUCCCGCCUGGGGAGUACGGUCGCAAGAUUAAAACUCAAAGGAAUUGACGGGGGCCCCGCACAAGCGGUGGAGCAUGUGGGUUUAAUU
rnacentral:rRNA from 1 species